rnacentral:rRNA from 1 species
GACGAAGGGGGCUAGCGUUGUUCGGAAUUAUUGGGCGUAAAGCGCGUGUAGGCGGCUUGUUAAGUCGGUUGUGAAAGCCCAAGGCUCAACCUUGGAAGUGCGUCCGAUACUGGCAGGCUAGAGUUCCGACGAGGAUGGUGGAAUUCCCAGUGUAGAGGUGAAAUUCGUAGAUAUUGGGAGGAACACCGGUGGCGAAGGCGGCCAUCUGGGAGGCGACUGACGCUGAGACGCGAAAGCGUGGGGAUCAAACAGG